ensembl:lncRNA
GGUGUAUAGAGAUAGGAUGUGUAGAUCCAUUCUGUCAAGUAUAGAUGAAAUGCUUCCUGUCCGGGUGUCAGACGGAAACGUGCUCUACUGUAAUUUGAGCCCCAGACACAUCUCUGAGGUUGAGCCCCAGACACAUCUCUGAGGUUGAGCCCCAGACACAUCUCUGAGGUUGAGCCCCAGACACAUCUCUGAGGCUGAGCCCCAGACACAUCUCUGAGGUUGAGCCCCAGACACAUCUCUGAGGUUGAGCCCCAGACACAUCUCUGAGGUUGAGCCCCAGACACAUCUCUGAGGCUGAGCCCCAGACACAUCUCUGAGGUUGAGCCCCAGACACAUCUCUGAGGUUGAGCCCCAGACACAUCUCUGAGGUUGAGCCCCAGACGCAUCUCUGAGGUUGAGCCCCAGACGCAUCUCUGAG